GGACAUUGUGACAUAUAAUUGGGCCCUAAACCAAGGUAAUACUACUCUUUUGCCUUGGUCCUGUUCCAAAAGGCAUUGUGACAUAUUGCUGAUCCCAGCACCAAGGUGAUGUGAGUCUUCUGCCUGGACCCUGUUCACAAGUGGCAUUGUGACAUACCUCUGGACCUAUCAACUACUUGAUGUGAUGUGCCUCUUCUCUUCUGCCUGGGCCCUGCCAAAAAAUGGGAUUGUAACAAAUCACUGGACCCAGAACCCAGAAACAAUUGUGACAUAUCACUGAGCCCAGGACCCAGGUGAUGUGACUCUGCUGCCUGCUCCCAACAUUCAAGAGAGGAUUCUAGCAUAUCCCUGGCCAAGAACUCAGGUGAUUUGACUCUCCUGCCUUGUCCCUGCCCUCAGAGAAGAUUGUGAUAUAUCUUCAGCCCCAAACCCAGACUUUCCUGCAGGAGUGAUGCUGACAUAUUCCUCUAUUUGGCAUCUGAGUGAUAUGAAUCUUGCCAUGGUCUAGCCCACAGAUGGAAUUGUGAUGUGUUGCUGUACCCAGCACCUAGGUGAUGUGACUCUAUUUUUCUGCCUUGGCACUGUCCACAAAAGGUAUUUUGACAUAUCUCUGGGGUAUGUACCCAGGUUACAUGACUCUCUUGCCUGUGCCCUGUCCACAAAUUAUCAUGAAAUAUUGCUGGGUCCAACACCCAGGUGAUGUAACUCUCAUGCCUAGGCCCUGCCAACAGGAGGAAUUGUGACAAAUCUCUGUGCCAAUAACCCAGGUUAUGUGACUCUCAUUUUUUGUCUGGUCCCUGCUCACAGGGGGCAUUAUGAUGUAUUGCUGAACUCAGCAACUAACUGAUGUGAUUCUCCUUUCUAGUUUUUGCCCACAGGGGAGAUUGUGUCAUAUCACUGGGCCUCAAACUAAGGUGAUGUUACACUUUCAUUUUUGAACUGUACUCAGAAGGCAUUGUGACAUAUUCCUGGGCCCAGCACCAAGGUGAUGUGAGUCUCCUGCCUGCACUUUGCCCACAAAUGGCAUUGUAACAUAUCUUUAGACCUAUCAACUAUUUGAUGUGACUUAUUUUUUUUAAGUGAAAACAAGUUUAUUAGAGAAGUAAAUAAACAAAAGAAUGGCUACUCCGUAGACCGAGAAGACCUGAGGGCUGCUCGUUGGCUCUUUUUGUGGUUAUUUCUUGAUUACAUACUAAACAAGGGAUGGAUUAUUUGUAAGUUUUCCAGGGAAGGGAUAGGCAAUUUCCAGAACAGAGGGUGCCCUCCCUUUUUAGACCAUAUAGGAUACCUUCCUAACAUGACAUUUGUAAAGUGUCAUGGUGCUGUUGGGAGUGUCUUUUAGCAUACUGAUGCAUUAUAUUUAGUGUAUAAUGAGCAGUGAGGACUACCAGAGGUCACUUUCAUUGCCAUUUUUCUUUUGGUGGGUUUUUGCUGUCUUUUGUACUGCAUCGUCUUUCAUCAGCAAGGUCUUUGUGAAUGGUACCUUGUGGUGACCUCUUGUCUUAUCCUGUGACAUAGAAUGUCUAAUCUUCUAGGAGCACAGGAAUUGGGUUAAUUCCUAUCUUUUUGAGGUCUCAAGAUAACUUGGGACUCUUGGGCCUGUCAGAAGGUGACAUUCCUUACUUGCAUAGGUCAGGAACCCUGCACAGGGACUGUGUAGACAACGUAGAAGGCCAAUUUUCCCAAAGGGCUUCUUCUGGCUCUACAAAUCAAGUAUGAUUUCUCAAAGACCAUAAUUCCAGUCAAAGCCUUGGUAAAAUAACCUGUGUCACCCAUUGUGUCCUGUUGCAAAUGAAAACAUGCUUAUUGUACUUAUGCAAAUAACUAUAUUGCCAUAAAUUAAGAAUAUUCACCAAUAUCUUUGCACAUUCUGGACAAAUCAGGGAGAGAGAAACAAAAUGCUCCAAAUUAUAUUUACGGGAGUAUAUUUUACUCAAUUGUUAAAAGCUGUAAAUAACUCAAAAGUGCUCUUGACUCUGAAAAACAAAGGAUCCACAACAUUUUAAGCAAAAAGCCAAAAAAUAUUACUUCCAUCUUUUAUUAGUUCAGUUCAUGCAGUGAACUCUUGUUCUGCUUGAUAUUUAUUAAUAUUUCAGCUUUCCAUGAGAGUCUUGAAAGUUUUUCUCCUGUUCUAAUUUUGCAGUCUUCAAAGUUAUCAGAAAUUUGCAUUUGAAAGCACCCAUCAAUGUUCCAGAGCAGACUAUAAAUUAUCUUUUGAAAAGGAUGAAAACAAGACAACAAUUGUCUGUGGGUGACAAAAAAAGUCCUAGGACAGCCAUUAUUAAAGCCACAAUUAACUAGAAAUAUUGGUUACUCUUGUGGAAUAAACAAUUUUACAUAACAAUUAUAACUAUUAACAACAUACUAUACACUAAUUUAUGUCAGACUUACAGGAGUUUUCCAUAAUUUCGGAAUGUCACCAAUGACAUAUUUAUACAAAUACAACCCCAAGAAAGCCAAAUACCAUUUCAUAUUUGACAAUACAUUCUGUAUAACUUUUAUACCAAAUAAAUAGAAUAUAUUAUUUUUGGACUUUAGGUGACCUAAUAUCUAAAAGAUUAAUUAGAUCAGAAAAGAUGAAAUUUAUAAUUUAAUUUUUGAAAGUUUUUCAAAUAACAAAGGUUUAAAACAUUUUACAUUAUAAAAUCAAAUCUCAGGUCACGCUAUGUCAUUCAUUUAGCCAAAACAGUAACUUUUCUUUUAAAAAUUUUUUUAAAAGCCAAAAACCUUUACUUAUUAAUAGAGGAAAGACUUAGCUUUCCAAACAGUCUGUCUCUUGUCCUUUUUCCUGUACUUUAUUCAAAAGACAAACAAAAAUCUUUCAUUUUUUAAAUAUAACAUGGGAAUCUUGUUCAAGAGUGGAAGCCAAUAUUUCACCUUUGUGUUAGUAUAGUAAUGAUGCCAAAGUUCUUAAUAAAAUCUUAUAUAC